rnacentral:rRNA from 1 species
UACGUAGGGGGCAAGCGUUAUCCGGAUUUACUGGGUGUAAAGGGAGCGUAGACGGCAUGGCAAGUCUGAAGUGAAAUGCGGGGGCUCAACCCCUGAACUGCUUUGGAAACUGUCAGGCUGGAGUGCAGGAGAGGUAAGUGGAAUUCCUAGUGUAGCGGUGAGAUGCGUAGAUAUUAGGAGGAACACCAGUGGCGAAGGCGGCUUACUGGACUGUAACUGACGUUGAGGCUCGAAAGCGUGGGGAGCAAACAGG